AUUAUUUUGGCAGAUUAGUGCAUUAAAUUUAGAAUUUAAUUAUGUAAUUAUAUUACAAAUAAUA
rnacentral:tRNA from 2 species